AAACUGAUAAUCUUGAGUGUAACUGAUGUGGGCGGGAAUGUGUCAAGUAGCGGUGAAAUGCAUAGAUAUGACACAGAACACCGAUAGCGAAGGCAGCUCACAAAAUUACAACUGACACUGAGGCACGAAAGCGUGGGUAUCAAACAGGAUUAGAUACCCUGGUAGUCCACGCUGUAAACGAUGAUCACUAGCUGUUUGCGAUACAUUGUAAGUGGUUAAGCGAAAGCGAUAAGUGAUCCACCUGGGGAGUACGUCGGCAACGAUGAAACUCAAAGGAAUUGACGGGGGCCCGCACAAGCGGAGGAGCAUGUGGUUUAAUUCGAUGAUACGCGAGGAACCUUACCUGGGCUUGAACGUAUGGUGCAUGAGUGUGAAAGCACUCUUUCCUUCACAGGACUUCAUACGAGGUGCUGCAUGGUUGUCGUCAGCUCGUGCCGUGAGGUGUUAGGUUAAGUCCUGCAACGAGCGCAACCCCUGUUUUUAGUUGCCAGCAGGUUAUGCUGGGCACUCUAGAAAGACUGCCUGCGCAAGCAGAGAGGAAGGUGGGGAUGACGUCAAAUCAGCACGGCCCUUACGUCCAGGGCUACACACGUGCUACAAUGGUCGGCACAGAGGGUGGCUACCCGGCAACGGGAUGCUAAUCUCCAAAGUCGAUCUUAGUUCGGAUCGAAGUCUGCAACUCGACUUCGUGAAGUUGGAUUCGCUAGUAAUCGUAUCUCAGCCAUGAUACGGUGAAUACGUUCCCGGGCCUUGUACACACCGCCCGUCAAGCCAUGGAAGUUGGGGG
rnacentral:rRNA from 1 species